rnacentral:rRNA from 1 species
GACAGAGGGUGCAAACGUUGUUCGGAAUUACUGGGCGUAAAGCGUGUGUAGGCGGUCUCUUAAGUCGGAUGUGAAAGCCCCGGGCUCAACCCGGGAAGUGCACUCGAAACUGGGAGGCUAGAGUACUGGAGAGGUUGGUGGAAUUCUCGGUGUAGAGGUGAAAUUCGUAGAUAUCGAGAGGAACACCGGUGGCGAAGGCGGCUAACUGGACAGAUACUGACGCUGAGACACGAAAGCGUGGGGAGCAAACAGG